rnacentral:rRNA from 1 species
UUAAAUUGAAGAGUUUGAUCAUGGCUCAGAUUGAACGCUGGCGGCAGGCCUAACACAUGCAAGUCGAACGGUAACAGAAAGAAGCUUGCUUCUUUGCUGACGAGUGGCGGACGGGUGAGUAAUGUCUGGG